rnacentral:rRNA from 1 species
CGGGUGAGUAAUGCUUAGGAAUCUGCCUAUUAGUGGGGGACAACAUUUCGAAAGGAAUGCUAAUACCGCAUACGUCCUACGGGAGAAAGCAGGGGAUCUUCGGACCUUGCGCUAAUAGAUGAGCCUAAGUCGGAUUAGCUAGUUGGUGGGGUAAAGGCCUACCAAGGCGACGAUCUGUAGCGGGUCUGAGAGGAUGAUCCGCCACACUGGGACUGAGACACGGCCCAGACUCCUACGGGAGGCAGCAGUGGGGAAUAUUGGACAAUGGGCGCAAGCCUGAUCCAGCCAUGCCGCGUGUGUGAAGAAGGCCUUAUGGUUGUAAAGCACUUUAAGCGAGGAGGAGGCUACUGAAGUUAAUACCUUCAGAUAGUGGACGUUACUCGCAGAAUAAGCACCGGCUAACUCUGUGCCAGCAGCCGCGGUAAUACAGAGGGUGCAAGCGUUAAUCGGAUUUACUGGGCGUAAAGCGCGCGUAGGCGGCUAAUUAAGUCAAAUGUGAAAUCCCCGAGCUUAACUUGGGAAUUGCAUUCGAUACUGGUUAGCUAGAGUGUGGGAGAGGAUGGUAGAAUUCCAGGUGUAGCGGUGAAAUGCGUAGAGAUCUGGAGGAAUACCGAUGGCGAAGGCAGCCAUCUGGCCUAACACUGACGCUGAGGUGCGAAAGCAUGGGGGAGCAAACAGGAUUAGAUACCCUGGUAGUCCAUGCCGUAAACGAUGUCUACUAGCCGUUGGGGCCUUUGAGGCUUUAGUGGCGCAGCUAACGCGAUAAGUAGACCGCC